UAGGGAAUCUUCCACAAUGGACGCAAGUCUGAUGGAGCAACGCCGCGUGAGUGAAGAAGGUUUUCGGAUCGUAAAGCUCUGUUGUUGGUGAAGAAGGAUAGAGGCAGUAACUGGUCUUUAUUUGACGGUAAUCAACCAGAAAGUCACGGCUAACUACGUGCCAGCAGCCGCGGUAAUACGUAGGUGGCAAGCGUUGUCCGGAUUUAUUGGGCGUAAAGCGAGCGCAGGCGGAAUGAUAAGUCUGAUGUGAAAGCCCACGGCUCAACCGUG
rnacentral:rRNA from 1 species